rnacentral:tRNA from 1 species
UCCUUGGUGGUCCAGUGGUUAGGACUUUGUGCUUCCACUACAAAGGCCAUAGGUUUGAUUCCUGGUCGGGGAA